rnacentral:tmRNA from 3 species
GGGGGUGACAGGCUUCGACAGGUCAUUGAAAGCAUUAAAAAUCGGGUGGAAGACGUGGAGUAACUUCCUAAAAUAAUCUUCACAAAAAUAAGUGCAAACUUAUUGUCACGAGCAAAAGCAGUUUUUGCGUCAAUUUUUGACACAACCGACUCAUUUGCUCCAGCUUUUGCCUAACGGUAAAAGCGACUUGUUGCGAUAGUAAUAUCGCAACCAUCGUCAUAACUGGCGCUUGACCGGUUAUCAAACGGUGUCAUAUACUCAAGCUUAAUCGAUUGAUUUUUUCGGGAUUAGUCGAUGACAAAUUUUCCGAAAGGGAUUAUGAGUGUUUUGCCUAAUUCAUAAUUCAUAAUUCCCUGCCCCGAGUUAAAUCGAGGGGUUAAACAAUAAUUCGGCUAUCGCCCGUACAAAUUUUUGAUGUAAUAUGCAUCUGGACAUGGGUUCGAUUCCCAUCACUUCCAUCG